AUCUAAACCGGAUUGAAAUGGAAAUCCUUUUUGUUUUUCACAAAAAGAUUAUAGUAAAAAGCCGGACUAUCG
rnacentral:sRNA from 1 species